rnacentral:rRNA from 1 species
UAGGGAAUCUUCCACAAUGGGCGCAAGCCUGAUGGAGCAACACCGCGUGAGUGAAGAAGGGUUUCGGCUCGUAAGGCUCUGUUGUUAAAGAAGAACACGUAUGAGAGUAACUGUUCAUACGUUGACGGUAUUUAACCAGAAAGUCACGGCUAACUACGUGCCUG